CACAUGUGUAAAGAGAAAACAUUUAUUAUUAAAUGUAAUGAUAAUUUCUUAAUUUAUAUUUUUACAUAUUUUUACGUGUUUGUGUAAGAAUCUUUAAGUUUUAAGAAUUAAUAAUAAUGGUGAUUGAAUUAUUUACCAAGAUACAAAUAUAAAACAAUGUCACAUCAAACACGCAUUGAUCAAUUUUAUAAAAGAGUCGGCAAUAAAUAUCCUUCGCAUGUAAUUAAAAAGCAUUCUAGGUUAAAAACUGCGCCGUAUUCAAGAAGUAAAGAAAAAGAUAUAAAUAGAAAACAAAAUGUUUCAUUAUCACAAUAUAUGAAAUCUGAUGAUGUAUCAGAUUGUACUAUUAUACAUGAAAAGUCUAAUGAAAUGCAUGAUAGCUUUUUAAAUGAUACAAAGAUUCAAUACGAUGACGAAAUAAUGAAAAAUAAUAUAUCAUUAUAUGAAAAUAAUCACUUGGAAAAAACAUCAACAUAUAUUAAUAUGCAAUUACAAGAAACAUUAGAAAAUAAAUUAAAUAACGAUUAUAUGAAAACAUUAGAACUUAAUAGUAAUAAUAAUUCUCAGUUAAAGAAAACUCCAAUUAAAGAAUCAAAUUUUGCAAAUACAAAACAAAGGACUCCAAAUAAAAACAAUUUUUCAUCACAAAAUACUAAUAGUUCUUCUAUACAUAAAAAAUUAAGUUACACACCUAGAAUAUCAUUUGAAAAUAAAUCUCCAAAAAUUAUUGAAAAGAAAAACUUAUUUGAUGAAAAUAUUAAUAAUUCUAUUAUUAUUCAGACUAUUGAAAAUAUGAAUUUAGUAAAACAAGGUGCUAUUUCAUUACAUAAUUUUGAUCUAGAAAAAAUAUAUUCUAAAAAUACAUUUGAUUAUCAAUAUAAUAAUAUAAAUACUGAAAAUUUAAUGAAAUAUGAAUUAAACAAUAUAAAUUUAUGCAAUGAUUUGAAUUCUAAAAUUUUAUUCACUACUAUUUUUAGUGUACUUUCUCUUCCUAUUAAUUGUGGUUAUUUUGAUGAAAAUGAUCUUGAUUUUAUAUAUUCUAUAAUUACCCUUCCUAUAAAUGCUCAAAUGUUAUUAGCUAGGAUGAUAAAAAGAAAAAGAAAAUGGUUUAGAAAAAAUAAUAUAAGUUAUCCAGAAAUAAAUACAGAGUUAAAAGAUAUUUUUGAAAUUCUUGUUUCACGAUCUAUUUGUACUUUUGAUAUUCAAAAAGAAAACUUAUCUACAAUACUUGAAUUAUUACAAGUAAAUGAAAUUCAACAACUUUGUAAGAACAUGAAAAUUAAUCCUAAAGGAAACAAAAAAAGUAAUAUACAAAAAUUAUUAAAACUGUCAAACAAUAAACCUUUAUUUCCUGGAGUAAAGUCCCCAAGUAAUUUUUUGUAUGCUUCAAUACUUGAUAUAUUAGAUUAUUGCGUAUGCAUUACUAUUAAAACAUGGAAUAUUAUUGAUAGAAUUAUAACAUUAUUAAUACCAAAUCAAAAUCCAAGAGAUAAUACAUCAGAUAUAUUUUACUUUUUAUGUGAUGUUUAUUUAGGAAAGACAAUAUUUCCGAAUAAUUCUGGAGAUUAUUUUCCAGUAUUUUCUUGUAAAUUACAUUUGAUAAAUUAUAUGGAAGCUAAAUCUAUAUUAUCUACAACAUUACAAUAUAUUGAAAAGAAAGAUUGGAAAAAAGUACAAGAAUAUGGAAAUUUAGCUAUGGAUAUAUUACCAAAUUUAUUAGAAAUUGAAUCAUUAAAAUUAAAAAAUUCUAUACUUCCUAUGCAUGUAAGAUAUUAUAUGCCAGGAUAUAUAUGGUUAAAAAUACUUUCUAAAUGUAUAGAAGCAUUCAAAAAGAAUCGAGAUAAAAAGCGAGUAGUAGAAAUUUUAUCGUUUCUAUUAAAACAAAAUUGUCAUAUGCUUUCACAUAAAGGAAAAUGGUACGAAGAAUUAGCUCUCAUUGAAAUGUAUCAUCAUAAAAAUAUAGAAAUAUCUGCAUCUAUCAUAAUCCAAGCUUUAAAUACAGAAAAUUUGACACAAGUAGAUAAAGUAAAUCUUAUAGAUAGAGCAAAUAAAAUAGUCAAGAAGAAAAUAAUUAAAUCAAUUACAAAAACUACUGUUAAUAAAAUCUUAGAUGAUUAUAUUUCUUAUAUGCCAAAAUAUAAGCCAACAUCUAUCAUUAUAAAUGCCACAGUAAUGCCAAGAAAUACUGCAGGAAAUAAAAGUAUUUGGUGUAUAAAAAGUAGUAUUGAAAAUCAAACUUAUGGCUCAGUAGAAACUGUUGCAUUCCAUCAUUAUCAGAAACAAGGAUUUCCCAAUGGAUUGCACUGUGAAGGUGCAUUACCAAAUAUACUAUUUUGUACUUUAUUUUGGGAAGAAUUAUAUGAUAUACAUAUUCCUGGAGCAUUUGUAACACCAUAUCAAGAAGCUCCAGGAGAUUUAUAUACAGAUCAGUUUUAUAAAAAUAGAAAAGAAAAAAUAGAUAUGAAACUUAAAAUAAUUAGUGAUUUAAAUUCUGAAUUAUUAAGUUCUAAAAUGAAAGAAAAAUUUAUAAUAUUUAAACAAUAUCAAUCGGUUAUGUUAAGAAAUUUGGAUAAUAAUUUACAAUUGGAGGAAAUAGUACACUGUUUGGGAGUACAAGGUGUAGUAGGGAUUUGUAAACGACUCAUUGAAAAUUUUAAACUUUGGAGAGCUGGAUUUCCAGAUUUAAUUGUUUGGAAUUAUGAUACCAAAAAACAUAAAAUUAUAGAAGUAAAAGGUCCUCGUGAUGUUCUUUCAACAAAGCAAAGAUUAUGGUUAGAGUACUUACAUCAACUUGGACUCAAUAUUGAAGUAUGUUUAGUACAAGAUAAAUGCUGAAAUCUAGAGAAAAAAAAUUGAAGAAUUUAAUAAUUGUGAAUAAAUUUUAUAACUUUUUGUUAUAAGAGAAUAGACAUUAUAAGACUUUAAUUAAGAUAUUGCAGGAGUUGUUUCCAAAUUAAAUUCAGCAACAGGGAUUCCAUGCUGUGCUACAUAUGGAGCAAACAUUGCUGCAGGAUAAACAAUAGAUGAUGUACCGAUAACCAGGCAAACAUCACAAUUUUCAACGGCAAUAUCUAAUAUUUUAAUAAAGAGAUUAAAAUAUA